UACGUAGGUGGCAAGCGUUGUCCGGAUUUACUGGGCGUAAAGGAUGCGUAGGCGGAUAUUUAAGUCAGAUGUGAAAUACCCGGGCUCAACUUGGGUGCUGCAUUUGAAACUGGAUAUCUAGAGUGCGGGAGAGGUAAGUGGAAUUCCUAGUGUAGCGGUGAAAUGCGUAGAGAUUAGGAAGAACACCAGUGGCGAAGGCGACUUACUGGACCGUAACUGACGCUCAUGCACGAAAGCGUGGGGAGCAAACAGG
rnacentral:rRNA from 1 species